rnacentral:sRNA from 1 species
CUGGAGGUUGUGUCAAGAUUUAAGUCUUUAUUGGAGGAAUAGCAAGAGGCUAUUGAACACAAAAGCUUGUUCAUGAAUAUCCAUAGCAGCAUUGUCCUUAACAGGCAUAAAGUGGCAACAGCCCAAAAGUCCAUCACCUGGAUAUGUUUGUGAAUGGAUAAACAAAAAGUGGUCUAUGUAGACAAUGGAAUAUUGGCCAUAAAAAGGAGUAAACUACUAAUACAUGCUACAACAUGGAUGAGCCUUGAAAACAUUAUGCUAAUUAAGAGAAGCCAGACACAAAAGCCUGCAUAUUGCAUGGUUCCAUUCAGAUGAAAUAUCCAGAAUAGGCAAAUCUACAGAGACAGAAAAGUAGGUUAGUUGUUGCCAGGAGCGAGGGAAAUGGGGAAAUGGUGAGUGAUGAUUAAUGGCUGUGGGGUUUCUUUCGGGGUAAUAAAAAUAUUCUGGAAUAAGAUAGUGGUGGUGGUUGCACAACUUUGUGAAUAUAUAAAGGGUACUCUCAUACACUUUUGAAGUGGUAAAUUUUAUGAAUUUCGUGGUGGAUGAAUUAUAUCUCAAUUUUUAUAAAGAAGCUAUUGAUGGUGACGAAGCGUGGCUGCAUUUGAUAUGUCCAGAGUUACAUUUUGAAAUGACUGCUUGGGCUGCAGUGUAGGGAAUGGAUUGGGGGUUGGAGGUUGGGGGAGCCAUAGGAGUUGAUGAUGCAGAGACACUAGCAUUUUGCAGCAGUCUGGAGAAGGAGACAGUUACAAUCAGCCAGACUUUAACUGAGCUGGAUUUUAAGAAUGAUAGAGAAGUCAAAGAUGACUCCUACUUGUCAAGGUUGCCUGAGGCUUUGGUAGACUUCAAGCACAGUAAUUUGGGCUUUUACCCAGUACAUGUUUUAAUAAAUGGUACUCAAAAUUAAAAAAAAUCAACUUAUAAUGGUAAAUGCUAUGUAAGUUUUAAUUAUUAUAACUAAUCAUGAUAUACUUGUCUUUAUGAUAUUCGUAAUGAGAAUGUGCUCUUUGAAAAAUUAAAAUACAAUUUGUAUGUGAGCUUGCAAGAGACUGUUAGAAAUACUUGCUUUAUGAUUUCCUUUUGCCUCUAAAACUGUUUGAAAUCCAUUUGGAUUCAUUGUGUCUCAUAUUGUAAUUCUUUAAUGAUCUUAUUAUCUUUAGUUCCAAGAAGACAUCUGUGUCAAACACAGGCCAAUGGCUUUAUGAAGAAAAGCCACAUAAAAUGGAUUUGCUCCAUGAAAAUGGUCCUCGUCCUGGUCUUCAUGAAAAUGUAUGCAAAGCAGUUAGUGACUUCUGCAAGUGGGUUACUACUUUUGUAAGUUAGUGGUAAUACUUAAACCUACUUUUAAAUGUCAAGCUCAAAGUUGCUUUUAUUAAAAAACAGUAUUGGAUAAAAUCUAAGUCAAAUCCUCAAAGUCAUAAAGGAAUCAUUUUCUUCUAUUAUGUAUAAAUAGAAAUAUUUCUGGUAGAUGAAAUUUCUGGAAAGUUUGCAAACUUGCUGCUAAUUUGAAUGUUUAUGUUUACAUCUCACAUCAUUGCAGCUGUUUCAUAUUUUUAUUUUCCAUUUUAAUGUUAGGACUUUCUUUUCUCUCUUUCACUCCUUCAACUCAUUUUUCUCAGUUAGGUUUACCUAGAAGUACUCUGGCAGGUACUCCUUGAUUAUAAUCUUCACACAAAAAUGUUCUGACAUGCCAGGCGCAGUGGCUCAUGCCUGUAAUCCCAGCACUUUUGGAGACUGAGGCGGGCGGAUCACUUGAGUUCAAGAGUUCAAGACCAGCCUGGGCAAUAUAGCAAAACCUUGUCUCUCUUGUAUUUUUGUAAAAAAUAUAAAAAUUAGGCCGGGUACAGUGGUUCAUGCCUGUAAUCCUAGCACUUUGGGAGGCCAAGGUGGGUGGAUCACGAGGUCAGGAGUUUGAGAUCAGCCUGACCAACAUGGUGAAACCCUGUCUCUACUAAAAAUAUUAAAAAAUUAGCCGGGUGUGGUGGUGUGCACCUGUAAUCCCAGCUACUUAGGAGGCUGAGGCAGGAGAAUUGCUUGAACCUGGAGGCAGAGGUUGCAGUGAGCAGAGAUUGCGCCACUGCACUCCAGCCUGGGUGACAGGGAGAGACUCCGUCU